rnacentral:lncRNA from 1 species
CAAUCAUCUUAACCAAUGUAAGUAUUAGCCAGCUUUUGCUAUGACACCAAAUACUCUUAAAACACUGUGAUUUAUAACAGUAAAUAUCUAUAUCUUACUUAUGGUUUGAGAGUCAGCUGCAGUUCUGCUUGGCUCUGUCUAGCUUAUAUCAAUGUGGCUCUGCCCCACAUUUUGUCCUUAGGUGGAGGCUGAUGGAAUAGUCCCUGCUAUUCCCAGGGAGGGGUUUAGGAGGAAGCUGGCCUAAGCCAAUCUAUGCAUUCUCAUUCAAGCGUCUAGUCCUCAUGACAAGUAUCACAUCCAUGCACUUCUCAUUGGCCAAAGCAUGUCAUAUUGCCAAGGCUCACAUUAAUGAGUUUUGUAAUAUGAAGUUUGCAUGUUCUGCUUGUCUUUGUUUUACUGAAAUUCAGUUUCUCUGUAAAAAACAAACUCAUUUUCUUUUUAACAGGAAAUUCAGCAAAUCAUUAUUUUUAUGAAUUCAGUCAAUUCACAAUGAUCAUUUCUGUUGUCAUUGGUCUCUUUUCUGCCAUCUUGCUUUAUCCUCCCCUCUUUUCAUCUUUCCUGUUUUUUCCUUCCUUCUUUCCACCUCCUACAUUCCUGCUGUAUUUAUUGCUUUGUGUCUCUUUACUUUUCUAUAUUAAUUUGAAGUGAAGAAAUGCUAAUAAACAGCCAAAUGGCCAAAGGUAACUCCAUAGUGUGACCUUGGAACAUAUGACCUCAUCAGUAGAGACAAAAGACAUCCCUGGAGUACACAACAGGUUAAAGUCUUAUCUCAGGACAUCUCAAGACAAAACCUAGCUUGUGUUACAUAUGUAAAAUCAUAUGUAACACAAUUUUAUUCAAUUAUGUUAAUUAUACAAUCAUAAUGCCUAAUGAACAUUUGAACAAUUAUAAUUCUUUGCAUUAAAUGUGAUAGUAAAUUUGUAAACUGUAUUUGUAGGCAAUACUAAAUUUGGUUCACAAAACCUGCCCUAACAGGUUAUUUUUACCUUACCACAGAGAAAUAGAUAGAUAAAAAUAGAUCAUUAUUAUAAAACUAUUGCCAAUCAAACUAGAGUCUCUGGUAAAGGAACACAGGCAUGAGCAUUUUUUAAGCGUUCCUAAGUGAUUCAAAAGAGCACUUCAUCUGACGUUCACCAAACUAGGUCAAAAACCCCAUCUUAUUCUUCAUCCUUUCCUUACUCCUUUCUCUAAAGAUGACAGAUCAGAUUGGUGAGUUUCACUAAGAAACAAAGUUCAGCCCCUUCUUUUCCUUCUCUUCCAGCCAGUCUGUGAGAUGAUGUGCUCUGAUCUGUGAUCUAUCUCUGACAAUAGGCCCACCCUCAUGGAAUUCUGGUUUUGUUCUGUCUUUGUUUUGGAAAUAAAUUGCACCAAUUGCUACAGUGAUAAUUAAUCACUUACUUUGUUUUAACUUUUUAUUAGAGACAGGGUCUCAUUCUGUCACCCAGGCUUGAGAACGGUGGCACAAUCAUAACUCAUUGCAGCCUUGAACUCCUGGGCUCAAGCGAUCCUCCCACCUCAGCCUCCCAAGUAGCUAGGACUACAGGUUCGUGCCACCAUGCCUGGCUAUGUUUUUAUUUUUAUUUGCAGAAAUUAUGAGUGAUUUUAUUUUAUUCUUUUCAGCUUUUAUUUUAGGUUCAGGGGUUACAUACACAGUUUUGUUAUAUGGGUAAAUUUCAUGUCAUGGGGGUUAGGUGUAUAGAUUUUUCCAUCACCCAGGCAAUAAGCACAGUACCCAAUGAGCAGUUUUUCAAUCUUUGCCCUCUUACCACCCUUGCCCCU